rnacentral:sRNA from 1 species
UGAGAUUCAACAUAUCGAUGCUUCGA